rnacentral:pre_miRNA from 1 species
CCACGGCCGGCUGGGGUUCCUGGGGAUGGGAUUUGCUUCCUGUCACAAAUCACAUUGCCAGGGAUUUCCAACCGACCCUGA